CAAAUGGUCGCUGUAUGCUUAUAAUGAGCACAGAGAGGAAAGUCCGAGCAUCAAAAGAACGGAGUGCAAGUUAACGACUUGUGGAGGCGACUCUAAGGAUAGUGCAACAGAAAUAGACUGCUAGAAAUAGCGAUGGUGGAAAGGUAGGGUAAGAGCCUACCGAGAACUUGGUGACAAGUUCUGCUCUGUAAACCCCACUCGAUGCAAGGUUAAGUUUAGGUGAUAGUGUUCUUUCUGGCCUAACAAAAAUACCGCUUGAAGUUGCUGGUGACAGCAACUCUAGAUAGAUGACCAUUUGAAACAGAACUCGGCUUACAGUUUGACUG
rnacentral:RNase_P_RNA from 1 species